rnacentral:rRNA from 1 species
UACAGAGGUCCCAAGCGUUGUUCGGAUUCACUGGGCGUAAAGGGUGCGUAGGUGGUGAGGUAAGUCGGAUGUGAAAGCUCGGAGCUCAACUCCGAAAUGGCAUUGGAAACUACCUUGCUCGAGGGUUGGAGGGGGACUGGAAUACUUGGUGUAGCAGUGAAAUGCGUUAGAUAUCAAGUGGAACACCAGUGGCGAAGGCGAGUCCCUGGACAACUCCUGACACUGAGGCACGAAAGCUAGGGGAGCAAACAGG